AUAUUGUUAAACUUAUUCUAUUUUAUUAUUAGUUAUUAAUUAUUAAUUAUUAUUAUUAGUUAUUUAUUAAUAGUUAUUGUUGCUAAUCUCUUAGUAUGCUUAACUUAUGAAUUAAACUUUAUCAUAGGUAUGUAUGUACAGAAAAUAACCCAUGGAGGGAAUAGGGUUCAGUAUUGUCCCUGAUUUCAGGCAUGUGCUGGGAAUCCCGGAAUCUUGGAACAUAUCCCCUGUGGAUAAGGGAGGACUACUGCAUUAGGACUGUUUGAGUUGCAAGCCAACUUUAUGAGCUGAAUAUUUUUCUGAAACACUGGCAGCGUGAUUUCUCCCAACCAUGUGUCUCCAUCCCAAACUGAAAAGACCAUCUUCCUGAGGCAGCUAUUCAAAACUGCGGCCAGCUUGACUGCUUUUCUUGAAUUGAUGAGUUACAAACAGAUUGAUCAGAAAGCGAUACCUGUUUGAGCUGACUGAUUAUUAACCAAGAGUCAAAUUAUGUGCCUAGACAAAGUGUGAGUUAUGGGAAGAACCCAGGCUCUCUCUCUCUCCUUUAGGUCAUAGUAAAGGGAACCAUUGACUUCACUGUAGUUUUGGAUUAUGCAGGGAAUGGUCAGGGUUGUUUUGGAAUCCCAAAGAUCUACUUUCAAACUUUGGUCCUACUGAGGUAGCUGUGUGAGUUUGGCAGCUGCCAAAGGUCAUCUGACAUAAUAGCUGAUGAAUUCAAGCCCAGUGGAUUUCAUUUGCAAUUUUCAAUUUACUGAGGCCUCCAAACCCCACGGUGAUAAAAGCUUCCCCUAUCGUGGCCUGUCACAAACAUCAAGAAACUGCACAAACCCACAAGAAAGAAAAAAGAGAAAGCUGUGCAUCCUCGCAGGUACAGAUAAGGAGAACAGGAAGAAAUGGUAUCAUGCGGGAAGGUACGGAGCAGCUUGUGUGGCUGGUUCUCUAAAUGCCAAUUGAAAGGAAAAGACUAUGAAGAACAAUCAAAUAACUUCCACAGAAUAACAUCAUGUUUCUUUGGGGCUUUUGUGUGAAAAUUGCCUUCUAAUCUCUUACUUGACAAGUCCCCAAACAAAACUGUAAGCGUAAAUAUGCAAACAAAUAAAUGAAUAAAUAAUCCUUU